rnacentral:rRNA from 1 species
ACGCUGACAGAAUGCUUAACACAUGCAAGUCGAUGGGGAAGUGGUGCUUGCACCAUGGUAACCAUGGCGGACGGGUGAGUAACGCGUAAGGAACUUGCCUGCGGGACUGGGAUAACAGCAGGAAACUGCUGAUAAUACCGGAUAAGGUCAUUAAGCUGCAUAGCUUAGUGAUGAAAGGAGACGCCUGCGGAGAGCCUUGCGUCCUAUUAGCUAGUUGGAGGGGUAACGGCCCACCAAGGCGAAGAUAGGUAGCCGGCCUGAGAGGGUGGACGGCCACAAGGGGACUGAGAUACGGCCCUUACUCCUACGGGAGGCAGCAGUGGGGAAUAUUGGACAAUGGGGGCAACCCUGAUCCAGCAAUUCUGUGUGCACGAAGACGGUUUUCGGAUUGUAAAGUGCUUUCAGCAGGGAAGAAGUAAGUGACGGUACCUGCAGAAGAAGCGACGGCUAAAUACGUGCCAGCAGCCGCGGUAAUACGUAUGUCGCGAGCGUUAUCCGGAAUUAUUGGGCAUAAAGGGCAUCUAGGCGGCCUUUCAAGUCAGGGGUGAAAACCUGCGGCUCAACCGCAGGCCUGCCUUUGAAACUGAUAGGCUGGAGUACCGGAGAGGUGGACGGAACUGCACGAGUAGAGGUGAAAUUCGUAGAUAUGUGCAGGAAUGCCGAUGAUGAAGAUAGUUCACUGGACGGUAACUGACGCUGAAGUGCGAAAGCCGGGGGAGCGAACAGGAUUAGAUACCCUGGUAGUCCCGGCCGUAAACGAUGAUUACUGGGUGUGGGCAGGAAGACUGUCUGUGCCGAAGCGAAUGCGAUAAGUAAUCCGCCUGGGGAGUACGGCCGCAAGGCUGAAACUCAAAGGAAUUGACGGGGACCCGCACAAGCGGUGGAGCAUGUGGUUUAAUUCGACGCAACG